rnacentral:rRNA from 1 species
ACGGAAGGCAGCAGUAGGGAAUAUUGCACAAUGGGGGAAGCCCUGAUGCAGCAACGCCACGUGUGGGAAGAAGCAUUUCGGUGUGUAAACCACUGUCGUGAGGGAAUAGGGCAUUGUUUCGGCGAUGUUGAAUGUACCUCGAAAGGAAGCACCGGCAAACUUCGUGCCAGCAGCCGCGGUAAUACGAGGGGUGCAAGCGUUGUUCGGAAUCACUGGGCGUAAAGGGAGCGCAGGCGGGGAUGCAAGCAGUCUGUACAAUACCGGGGCCCAACCCCGGACCUGCAGACUGGACUGUUUCCCUUGGAUAGUUCAGGGGCAAGCGGAAUUCCUGGUGUAGCGGUGGAAUGCGUAGAGAUCAGGAAGAACACCGAUGGCGAAGGCAGCUUGCUGGGGACUUAUCGACGCUCAUGCUCGAAAGUGCGGGUAGCAAACAGGAUUAGAUACCCUGGUA